rnacentral:rRNA from 1 species
CCGUCAAUUCCUUUGAGUUUCACCCUUGCGGGCGUACUCCCCAGGUGGAUGACUUAACGCUUUCGCUUGGACGCUUACGGUAUAUCGCAAACAUCGAGUCAUCAUCGUUUAGGGCGUGGACUACCAGGGUAUCUAAUCCUGUUCGAUCCCCACGCUUUCGUGCAUCAGCGUCAAUAACGGCUUAGACAGCUGCCUUCGCAAUCGGUGUUCUGAGACAUAUCUAUGCAUUUCACCGCUACUUGUCUCAUUCCGCCGUCUUCAACCGCAUUCAAGCACUUCAGUAUCAAGGGCACUGCGACAGUUGAGCUGCCGUAUUUCACCCCUGACUUAAAGUGCCGCCUACGCACCCUUUAAACCCAAUAAAUCCGGAUAACGCUCGGAUCCUCCGUAUUACCGCGGCUGCUGGCACGGAGUUAGCCGAUCCUUAUUCUCCAGGUACGUUCAGCCGGCCACACGUGACCGGGUUUAUUCCCUGGCAAAAGCAGUUUACAACCCAUAGGGCAGUCGUCCUGCACGCGGCAUGGCUGGUUCAGGGUUGCCCCCAUUGACCAAUAUUCCUUACUGCUGCCUCCCGUAGGAGUCUGGUCCGUGUCUCAGUACCAGUGUGGGGGAUUCUCCUCUCAGAGCCCCUAGACAUCGUCGCCUUGGUGGGCCGUUACCCCACCAACUAGCUAAUGUCACGCGAGCCCAUCCAUAUCCUAUGAAUAUUUGACCCCGCCCCGAUGCCGGGAUGGGGUGUCAUGCGGUGUUAAUCCGAAUUUCUUCGGGCUAUCCCCCUGAUAUGGGUAGGUUGCUCACGCGUUGCGCACCCGUGCGCCGCUCUCACCAGAGGGUAGCAAGCUACCCCUGGAUCCCGUCCGACUUGCAUGUAUUAGGCCUGCCGCUAGCGUUCAUCCUGAGCCAGGAUCAAACUCUA